rnacentral:lncRNA from 1 species
UGGGAUAUUAGUGGACGUCCACCAACCCACCAACCUCUGACUCUGAAGUUUGAGGUGGGACCAAACGUUUUUCUAACUUAAUUUGAUCUUGGCCGUGCAAUUAAACGGAUUGCGACCCCACUGCUUUGUACAAUAUUUGCCUCAAGUUCCAUGCAUGUACUAAGAUCCAGAGUCGCUCUCAGCGUUGGUGCAACAAUUCCUG